UCCAGAAACCGGAGCGUCCACUGAGCGGCGCCGCAGCCCGCAACUUUCACAGGCAGGCGGCUGGCCGGCCGGAGCUUCCUCCCUGCAACACGCUGCAGGCCAAUCCGCUCACUCACACCGUGUUGGGUUACAGUGACAAGGGCCCCUGUCUGAACCACGACUUUUAGUAAGAUAAUAUUACAGGCCCACAGCUGAUCCAUCUCCCAGUACACAAUUGAGACAGAGGAGGUUAAAGCACUCUGAACGCAUGGGACCAUAUUGCAGCCUUUGUCUCUCCUCCCAGGUAUUUGUGCCUGUGGCAGGGUCUUGGUCUUUUGUUCCCCUCCUGCUCCUCCAGCGCACCACAAGACGACCCGCAUGCACACGAGGCUCAGACAGCGCCUCCCAGCACUCCUCCAUGUUCUCCUCCAUCUGCCUCCUGUCCAUUGAUCAGCCUUCCAGGGCAUCAGUCUGUUUAACAUCUGCUACAAGUUCCAGCAGCUCAGAUGCGCAGAGGCUGUAAUGAAGAGCUCUUGAACUCCCAGUCAGAGAAGCAGUGACAGGAGUUCAGGAGGAUGCCUCUUUGGCUCUGUUGGACGUAUAACACACACACAUGCACACCAGUACACACUCAGGCACACAUACACCCCGAGACAGCAACAAACAGCUAAUACAAAAAUCAAAAUGAAGCUGUCACUCAAACAUUGUUUCACAAAUGACUAGCUUUUCAUUUAAAGUGUCCAAUGUUCAAUCUUCCUACUGAUAUUGGAAAAAUAUCAAAAAUCUACCUCUGCACGUCUGCUCCACUCUUAUUUUCUCCUUUCCUUUUAAUAUUAUUUAUUUUUGGGGACAGCUUUGACAUGAAAUUAGAGGUUACAAACUUUAUAUGAGAAACAUCUUAAUAGAGGCAUAACUUGAGUUUGUGAACUAUAAAAGCAGCCGCAUUUCCAACCUUCCGAGCUUUAUUAUCAAGCCUGUGGUACUGCGGCACAUCUUUCGGCAGGUACAUUUGAUUUUGAGUUUUUGCCUUCAGGCUCUGAAUUGAAAUGGAAGACCAAAUGGCACAAAUGGCAAGUGCACCAUUCCUAGCUUUCUGCAGCCUCCCAACACAAACUGGUCAAGCAGAAAUGAGACCUGCAUCAAUUUUAAUUUGUAUUUAUCCUGCUGAUGACCCGCUCCUUUCACUCUGCCGUUGGAGGCACAAAUUACACCCAUCAUAACUCUGAUUCCAACGGCCCACUGUGUGCUAUCAGGAAAUUAACAUGGUUAUAUACCACCGGCGGGUUCAAGGUGUCACAACACAAUUAUACAAUCAUGCAACCUGACGAGCACUGACUGGUCGCCAGUGUAUGACAACUAAGCUGGAGGGCUACACUGUCUGUCACAUCCAGGCGGGUAAGAUAAGUUCACUGUAGAGUAGACUGUGCCUCAGUGUCUGCUUCUCUCUAUCUAAAUCAGUUAAAUAUCACAUGGCUGCUGCAGUCUGGGUUUUUUUUUUUUUUUUUUUUGGGAUGAGGGGGGAGAAGUAUAAAGACCCACAUCUGAACUUAUCUUUGACUUGUCAGGUUUUUAUUCAGCACAGCAAAUUGAGCCUGCAAAAUUUGUGAA